GUGUUGAAACACCAGCUCCCCUAUGAUCACCUAAGUUAAGCAGCAUUGAGCCUAGUCAAUACCUAGAUGGGUGAUCGCUUGGGAAUACCAGGUGCUGUAA